AUACGGAGGAUCCGAGCGUUAUCCGGAUUUAUUGGGUUUAAAGGGUGCGCAGGCGGCCAUUUAAGUCAGCGGUUAAAUCGUGGGGCUCAACCCCAUUCUGCCGUUGAUACUGGGUGGCUUGAUUGCGGUCGAGGUUGGCGGAAUUCGUUGUGUAGCGGUGAAAUGCAUAGAUAUGACGAAGAACACCGAUUGCGUAGGCAGCUGACCAGACCGCAAAUGACGCUCAUGCACGAAAGUGCGGGGAUCGAACAGGAUUAGAUACCCUGGUAGUCCGCACAGUAAACGAUGAAUACUAGCUGUUUGCGAUACAAUGUAAGCGGCUGAGCGAAAGCGUUAAGUAAUCCACCUGGGGAGUACGUUCGCAAGAAUGAAACUUAAAGGAAUUGACGGGG
rnacentral:rRNA from 1 species